GAUGGCUCAGGGGAUGGAGUCCCCCGUGAACCGCGACAACCGCUGACGACUCCUGCCGCCGA
rnacentral:ncRNA from 2 species